UGAGGAAUUUUGCGCAAUGGGCGAAAGCCUGACGCAGCGACGCCGCGUGGAGGAUGACGGCCUUCGGGUUGUAAACUCCUGUCAGGGGUGAAGAAACUUCGCAAGAAGCUGACGGUAACCCCAGAGGAAGCCCCGGCUAACUACGUGCCAGCAGCCGCGGUAAUACGUAGGGGGCGAGCGUUGUCCGGAAUUACUGGGCGUAAAGGGUGCGUAGGCGGUUGCUUAAGUUGGAUGUGAAAUACCCGGGCUUAACUUGGGGGGUGCAUUCAAAACUGGGCAACUAGAGUUCAGGAGAGGGAAGCGGAAUUCCUAGUGUAGCGGUGAAAUGCGUAGAUAUUAGGAGGAACACCAGUGGCGAAGGCGGCUUUCUGGACUGACACUGACGCUGAGGCACGAAAGCGUGGGGAGCAAACA
rnacentral:rRNA from 1 species